UUGGGAGCUUGUGUAAUCAGUAUGUGCAAUCCUUUGUGGAAGGGCUCAAAUAAAUAGAACAAUUGUCAAGUCAUACUUGGAAUGCUAAAUGUCCAUACAUGUAUGAAUCAAUAUUUAUUCUGUUGUCAAUGUCAUAAAAGAAGAAAAGGGACUCUAGGAGUUAGUGGAGAAUUAAAGUAGCUGCUUGUCAAACCAGAGCAAAAUUUUAUUUUUCUAGGUCACUAUUGUUCCUAUUUCUGGCUUAAGGUUCAAAGCUUGCUAGACUGAUUCAUAGUCUGUUACUUCUCUAUAUUUGUUCUCUGGGCAGUAAGUCCCUCUAUGAGGAAUAUUACUUGUAUACUAUGUAUUAUUUGUUACAUCACACAAAAGAAUAUCCUUUUCAGCCUUUUGCUCUUGUUUCUCUCAAUUUCAUCUGUAGUUUAUCCAUAAUUUAAAAAUGUAUUCCAUACUCAAUGCAAUUCAAUAUCAAAAGCAUCAAGAAACCCUUUAUCUAACUGCUAUUUGUGUCCCCCAAAA
rnacentral:misc_RNA from 1 species